AUGGCCGCACUACAAACGCCAUCCCCAUUCGCCGGCACCGCCCGCCGCUUCGCCCCUCGCCUCCGCUACCUACUCCUACCAACCACCAUGUCGCUCUCCUCCUCCAUCGUUUCCUCUCGAAGCCGCGACGGCGACGGGGAGCAGCCUCUCCUCCCGCACUCGAGCCUCGAGAUCGCCGGCGCGCGGCGCGGCCUCCUCGCCGGCUUCGACAGCCUCCGCCGCCCGUACCGCGCCUUCCCCGUCUUCGCGUCCAACCGCCACGUCGAGACCAUCUUCGCGGCCUUCACGCGCUCGCUCCCCACCGUGGCAUUCCGGCGCGAAUGCCUACGCACCCCUGACGACGGAGCCGUCGCCCUCGACUGGGUCUCCGGCGACGACCGGGCGUUGCCGGGAGACGCGCCUGUGCUAAUCCUUCUGCCUGGUCUGACAGGUGGGAGUCAGGAUACAUAUGUACGACAUAUGCUUUUGAGAGCUAGAAGCAAAGGAUGGCGUGUUGUGGUAUUCAAUAGCCGUGGAUGUGCAAAUAGUCCUGUGACCACAGCGAAGUUCUAUUCUGCUUCAUUUACUGGAGAUCUCCGUCAAGUAGUCGAUCAUGUUUUAACCCGUUAUCCUCAAUCUAAUAUCUAUGCUGCUGGCUGGUCUCUUGGAGCAAAUAUUCUUGUGCGCUACCUUGGCGAGGAGACUGAUAAAUGCUCCCUUUCUGGAGCAGUGUCCAUGUGCAAUCCGUUUAAUUUGGUCAUAGCAGAUGAAGAUUUCCACAAAGGGUUCAACAACAUCUAUGAUAGAGCACUUGCUAACUCUCUGAGGGCUAUAUUUAAGAAGCAUGCACUUCUUUUUGAAGGAUUGGAUGGUGAAUAUGACAUACCAAAGGCAGCCAAUGCAAAAACUGUUAGAGAUUUUGAUGAAGGCCUAACCCGAGUUUCAUUUGGUUUCAGGUCAGUAGAUGAUUACUACAGCAACUCAAGCAGCUCAGAUUCUAUCAAGAAUGUUUCCAUACCCUUAUUGUGCAUACAGGCGGAUAAUGAUCCAAUUGCACCAUCCAGGGGAAUUCCCAGAGAAGAUAUCAAGGCAAAUCCGAACUGCCUACUGAUAGUAACACCAGAGGGUGGUCAUCUUGGAUGGGUAGCAGGCGAUGAAGCUCCAUUUGGAUGUCCUUGGACUGACCCUAUUGUUAUGGAGUUUCUAGAACAUGUUCACAAUGAAACGGGCUCAACCAGCAAGAAUAGCGUGGCCAAUGAGCCGCAGGGUGUUCCAAAGACAUCAGUACCACACUUGUCCGAACAUGUGUAG
rnacentral:rRNA from 1 species